rnacentral:tRNA from 1 species
GCACCAGUGGCGGAAUGGUAGACGCGCACGCUUGAGGGGCGUGUGAGGCAACUCGUGGAAGUUCAAAUCUUCUUUGGUGCACCA